UGCGUGGACGUGGCGGAUCGACUAAAAAACGCAGCGUAAACAACGAUUUUUUUCGAAACAAAAUGAGUUCAAUAUGUUGUGCCAUAAAUGGCAUAUGCUCCGACGGGUUGCACAUGAAAAAGUGUUGAGUUUGAGAGCGUCCUGCGGGUCAAUACGGUAUCCAUGUGUUUCUGUCGUGUUUGAAAUAGUUCAUAAAGGGGAAUACUUACUACAACAAGAAACAAUCUAUAUAACAUAAUUGGCUGCAUGGAACUACAUACACAUCUUCUAGUUGAUGAACACACACAAUACAUUUUCCUGUGCACUCAACUCUGUCUCGAAUAAUGCUACAAAAGUGCUUUCCAUUUUGGGCGUAUUAAAAAUUCCACACGCGUUUUGGGUGAGUCUCCACAUGAAUAUGUACGAGUCUGUCUGUACAUCUGUACUGCAUCACAUUAACACUUCCCAUUGGACGGUAGAUGACUUCAUUUUCAGGUCAUGCACGCCAUAUGCAACAUGAGUCGUCUUGCCACAGAUGUCAGUGCUGUACUUGCAGUUGCACCCGCUCAUGCUCAGGGCUGGCUCCUCAUGAUUUACUACAAGCAGAUGAUUUAAUGUAACCGCAUAUACACACGUUCACGAUACACGAACAUGGGGCAGACCACUUCAGAUGCAUACAAGAACGAGAACAGCCCAGCCCAGACACCCCACAUGUGUUGCAACUGAAGCGUUGCAGCAGUUGAAAGAAGAACCCCGAGACGGCAGUGACGGUGUCCUCCAUCUUGAAAACUGAUGCUCCGCUGAAGCGGCAGAGGAUUCCAUUUAAAAAUGCGAGCAGCGAGUGGAUGAUGAAACAGCAAAUAAACCAAAUCUAAAUGAAAUCUUACGUAUACGCCAACCCUUUCCCGGAAGAGUGCGUAAAUCCGGGUGUCAACGAGCUGCGACCUUGCCGAGAGAUUCCCUUCAGAUGCUGGCCAAAAUCCGACGUCAAAACAAAUCGUUAAAAUGCAAUAAAACUCCCAGAGAUGUGGGAGUCCACAUCCAUAUGCAAUCACUAAACAAGGGCCAAGGCAAAUGCAUUCGAAUAAAAUUUUACCACCAUUUCCUCGAGCAUCAUCAGCAGCAGGAGCAUCAUCAACCUAACGGCGGCAACAUCCGAGGCACCUCAUAAAAGUAAUGACGUCUAUGGCCCAUCAGCAGCUGAUAGAUACAUUUGUAUCUGCGCACGGGGGCCAAGGGGAUAUCACAAUAAUUAUGGCAUACGUCACGGAACUUGGGUUUUUAUAUCUUUUAUAUUGAUUGUCAUCGUGUCACACUAACAGAUCGUAAAAAAGUCGUAAAAUCCGGAGACUCUCGCUCUG